CGGAAAGCGAGUAGAGUGGCGCACGGGUGAGUAACGCGUAAGUAAUCUACCCUGGCAUCUGGGAUAACCCACCGAAAGGUGUGCUAAUACCGGAUACGUUGAUUUAUCAAGAAAGGUGGCCUCUAUUUAUAAGCUACUGUGCUGGGAGGAGCUUGCGUACCAUUAGCUAGUUGGUGGGGUAAUGGCCUACCAAGGCGACGAUGGUUAGCGGGUCUGAGAGGAUGAUCCGCCACACUGGAACUGGAACACGGACCAGACUCCUACGGGAGGCAGCAGUGAGGAAUAUUGCGCAAUGGGGGAAACCCUGACGCAGCGACGCCGCGUGGAUGAUGAAGGUUUUCGGAUCGUAAAAUCCUGUCAGAUGGGAAGAAAUGCUCUAUGUCUAAUAUAUAUAGGGUUUGACGGUACCAUCAAAGGAAGCACCGGCUAACUCCGUGCCAGCAGCCGCGGUAAUACGGAGGGUGCAAGCGUUGUUCGGAAUUACUGGGCGUAAAGCGCGCGUAGGCGGUUAUUUAAGUCAGAUGUGAAAGCCCAUGGCUCAACCAUGGACGUGCAUUUGAUACUGGAUAACUUGAGUACUGGAGGGGAUGGUGGAAUUCCCGGUGUAGAGGUGAAAUUCGUAGAUAUCGGGAGGAAUACCGGUGGCGAAGGCGACCAUCUGGCCAGAUACUGACGCUGAGGUGCGAAAGCGUGGGGAGCAAACAGGAUUAGAUACCCUAGUAGUCCACGCCGUAAACGAUGUCAACUAGGUGUUGGGAUGGUUAAUCGUCUCAUUGCCGCAGCUAACGCAUUAAGU
rnacentral:rRNA from 1 species